rnacentral:rRNA from 1 species
AUUGAACGCUGGCGGCAUGCCUUACACAUGCAAGUCGAGCGGAUGAAGGAAGCUUGCUUCCCGAUUCAGCGGCGGACGGGUGAGUAAUGCCUAGGAAUCUGCUUAUUAGUGGGGGAUAACUCGGGGAAACUCGGGCUAAUACCGCAUACGUCCUACGGGAGAAAGUGGGGGAUCUUCGUACCUCACGCUAUCAGAUGAGCCUAGGUCGGAUUAGCUAGUUGGUGAGGUAAAGGCUCACCAAGGCGACGAUCCGUAACUGGUCUGAGAGGAUGAUCAGUCACACUGGAACUGAGACACGGUCCAGACUCCUACGGGAGGCAGCAGUGGGGAAUAUUGGACAAUGGGCGAAAGCCUGAUCCAGCCAUGCCGCGUGUGUGAAGAAGGUCUUCGGAUUGUAAAGCACUUUAAGUCGGGAGGAAGGACUGUAGGCUAAUACCUUGCAGUUUUGACGUUACCGACAGAAUAAGCACCGGCUAACUUCGUGCCAGCCGCCGCCGUAAAAC